GGAGGAAAAGAAACCAACAGGGAUUGCCCUAGUAAUGGCGAAUGAACAGGCAAAAGCUCAGAUUUGAAACCCUCGGGAUUGUAAUCUGGAGACCUGGAUUUGGCACGCUGACCAAGUCUUCUGGAACGGAGCGCCAUGGAGGGUGACAGCCCCGUAGCAGCAGCCACUGUAAAUCCGGGUCGACGAGUCGAGUUGUUUGGGAAUGCAGCUCUAAGUGGGUGGUAUGCUCCAUCUAAAGCUAAAUAUUGGCGAGAGACCGAUAGCGAACAAGUACUGUGAAGGAAAGAUGAAAAGAACUUUGAAAAGAGAGUGAAAAAGUACGUGAAAUUGUUGAAAUGGAAGGCAAUGAGGUGCGAUUGAACCGGACGUUUGCGGGCAGGACAAAAGCGCAGGCCGCCUCGGCAUUGCCUGCGUGCAUACUGCCUCGCGGACUACCAGUUCUAACAACGCCUUAUUGCACCCGUU
rnacentral:rRNA from 1 species